GUGGGGAAUUUUGGACAAUGGGCGCAAGCCUGAUCCAGCCAUGCCGCGUGCAGGAUGAAGGCCUUCGGGUUGUAAACUGCUUUUGUACGGAACGAAACGGCUCUUUCUAAUAAAGAGGGCUAAUGACGGUACCGUAAGAAUAAGCACCGGCUAACUACGUGCCAGCAGCCGCGGUAAUACGUAGGGUGCGAGCGUUAAUCGGAAUUACUGGGCGUAAAGCGUGCGCAGACGGUUAUGUAAGACAGAUGUGAAAUCCCCGGGCUCAACCUGGGAACUGCAUUUGUUACUGCAUAGCUAGAGUACGGCAGAGGGGGAUGGACUUCCACGUGCAGCAGUGAAAUGCGUAGAUAUGCGGAGGAACACCGAUGGCGAAGGCAAUCCCCUGGGCCUGUACUGACGCUCAUGCACGAAAGCGUGGGGAGCAAACAGGAUUAGAAACCCGAGUAGUCC
rnacentral:rRNA from 1 species